rnacentral:tRNA from 1 species
AUCUGGCUGGCUCAGUCGGAAGAGCAUGUGGCUCUUGAUCUCAAGGCUGUGAGUUUGAGUCCCACGUUGGGUG